AUUUAACAGAUUACAUUUUCAAUAAAACAUCUGCAAUUGGUUUGUAAAGGGUGUUUUUUAUGCAUGUUUAAUCUGAAUUUUCA